GACUUCUGGUUUAAUGCACCUGGCCCGCGGCCCACAAGGCCUGUGAGUGUCGGCGCGCUACCCUUAACUGGGCGGCUGGAACUGGAUCUUUUACUUUGAAAAAAUUAGAGUGUUAAAGCAGGCGUUUGCUCUGAAUACAUUAGCAUGGAAUAAUAAUCUAGGACUUCGGUUUUAUUUUGUUGGUUUUAUAACUGAAGUAAUGAUUGAUAGGGAUAGUUGGGGGUGCUAGUAUUGGCCGGUCAGAGGUGAAAUUUUUGGAUUCGGUCAAGACUAACUUAUU
rnacentral:rRNA from 1 species